rnacentral:lncRNA from 1 species
AUUAAUUGCUAGGGGAGGCUAGGGAUAGCAAGCCAGUAAUUAGUAAUAGACUCUUUUCGCCGAGGGAUCGGGUUAAGGGUAGACUAAGAAAGUUGCAUCACAAUUAGUUAAUCAAGCAAAUAAAUCAAGAGGAGUAAAUAAGAGAGCGGAUAAGAUGAAAUUGUAAACCCCCAACAACUCCAUUCAUCCAUUGUUUUCUUCUCGUUAAUUGAAUCAAUCUAUGUUGCAUGUUUAUAUUUUG